AGAGGGCCUGGUGGCGCCAGUGUCCGGCAGCCUCACCUCUGUCAGUGCACCCCAGGGUGGCUGUGGCUACAAUGUAGCUUGCCAUCACCAGUGUGUGAAUGGGUGGAUGACUGGAUAUGUAAAGCGCUUUUGGGGUCCUUAGGAACUAGUAAAGCGCUAUAUAAAUACAGGCCAUUUACCAUUUUACUGCUUCGAUUUGAUAGCCAUUUGCUCUCCUGCCGGAGGUUGCGGCUAAGCCAGCACAAGUUUUCAGGAUGUAGGGGUAUGAGCCAACUUCGAUUCCGAAUAAGUUGAAGAACUCUGACCUGGCUAGAGACUUGUUGCUCUGGUCAUCGAGCAUACAUUUUGAUGGCUUGUUGUGGGAACUCUUCAGGGUAAACCUUAACAAGACAUAUCUUGGAACAACAUUUUGACCUGGCAAAAUCGCCACAAACUUCAGUGCACAGAGGGCUUGCAACUGGUUCUGGGAUGGUGUCCUCUUUUUCCGGCUCCCCGCCGUCACCUGUUGGGGGACUUGAGGCCUUGGUGGACAGUUGUGGUGGACCAGGAUGAAGAGCUGUGAUGUGCUUGUCACUGUUGCACGAUGGGUUUGAUGCCACGGGCGGUAUCCAGGAAAGCUGUCCAACUUCCUAAAGAGAGCACUUUCGAUGACUUCUGGAGCACCGUAGCAUUCAUCAAGCCUGUCCCAGACCAUUUUGAGUUGUCAAUAUGAACUGCUGUUAGGCGCUUGACAUAUGCAGAAGAUUCCUUCCCAAGCCACUUUGAAAGUAAAUCCAGCUGUUCACUUGCAGUAAGGUCCAAACCCUUAAGCUGUUUUCAUCUUUCUGGGCUCUUUAAUCAUCUUGAAAUUACAAUGUCAGAAAAAGAAAAAGUGUUCUAAAAAAUCUGGUUGGAUUAAAAUACAUAAAAAUCAUGUUUAAACAACGAAACAUUUUGAUGGGUAUAAUUUCUGUGGAAACUGAAUCCAGAAAUGACUGUGUUGAGUCUGUUCCUUCCCAUUCCCUACAAGGCCACCUGGGUUGGCUGGAAGACUGUUUCAGCUGAACUAUGGACACGCAGUAUACAUAUACUGAUACUGAUAAGCAC
ensembl:lncRNA